rnacentral:rRNA from 1 species
ACGAUGAAUCUUCUAGCUUGCUAGAAGUGGAUUAGUGGCGCACGCGUGAGUAAUGCAUAGGUUAUGUGCCCUUUAGUCUGGGAUAGCCACUGGAAACGGUGAUUAAUACUGGAUACUCCCUACGGGGGAAAGUUUUUCGCUAAAGGAUCAGCCUAUGUCCUAUCAGCUUGUUGGUGAGGUAAUGGCUCACCAAGGCUAUGACGGGUAUCCGGCCUGAGAGGGUGAUCGGACACACCGGAACUGAGACACGGUCCAGACUCCUACGGGAGGCAGCAGUAGGGAAUAUUGCUCAAUGGGGGAAACCCUGAAGCAGCAACGCCGCGUGGAGGAUGAAGGUUUUAGGAUUGUAAACUCCUUUUGUUAGAGAAGAUUAUGACGGUAUCUAACGAAUAAGCACCGGCUAACUCCGUGCCAGCAGCCGCGGUAAUACGGAGGGUGCAAGCGUUACUCGGAAUCACUGGGCGUAAAGAGUGCGUAGGCGGGGUAAUAAGUCAGAUGUGAAAUCCUGUAGCAUAACUACAGAACUGCAUUUGAAACUGUUACUCUGGAGUGUGGGAGAGGUAGGUGGAAUUCUUGGUGUAGGGGUAAAAUCCGUAGAGAUCAAGAGGAAUACUCAUUGCGAAGGCGACCUGCUGGAACAUUACUGACGCUGAUGCACGAAAGCGUGGGGAGCAAACAGGAUUAGAUACCCUGGUAGUCCACGCCCUAAACGAUGGAUGCUAGUUGUUGCCUUGCUUGUCAGGGCAGUAAUGCAGCUAACGCAUUAAGCAUCCCGCCUGGGGAGUACGGUCGCAAGAUUAAAACUCAAAGGAAUAGACGGGGACCCGCACAAGCGGUGGAGCAUGUGGUUUAAUUC